rnacentral:rRNA from 1 species
UACGUAGGGAGCAAGCGUUGUUCGGAUUUACUGGGCGUAAAGGGCGCGUAGGCGGCAAAUUAAGUCAGCUGUGAAAUCUCCGAGCUUAACUCGGAACUGUCAGCUGAUACUGAUCUGCUAGAGUGCGGAAGGGGCAAUCGGAAUUCUUGGUGUAGCGGUGAAAUGCGUAGAUAUCAAGAGGAACACCUGAGGUGAAGACGGGUUGCUGGGCCGACACUGACGCUGAGUGCGCGAAAGCCAGGGGAGACGAACGG